UACGAAGGGGGCUAGCGUUGCUCGGAAUUACUGGGCGUAAAGGGCGCGUAGGCGGAUGUUUUAAGUCGGGGGGUGAAAGCCCGGGGCUCAACCCCGGAAUUGCCUUCGAUACUGGACAUCUUGAGUACGGGAGAGGUGAGUGGAACUCCGAGUGUAGAGGUGAAAUUCGUAGAUAUUCGGAAGAACACCAGUGGCGAAGGCGACUCACUGGCCCGUUACUGACGCUGAGGCGCGAAAGCGUGGGGAGCAAACAGG
rnacentral:rRNA from 1 species